UACGUAGGGUGCAAGCGUUGUCCGGAAUUAUUGGGCGUAAAGGGUGCGUAGGUGGCAUGGUAAGUCGGAUGUGAAAUCCCGGGGCUCAACCCCGGAACUGCAUUCGAUACUGCCAGGCUAGAGUACUGGAGAGGAGAUUGGAAUUUACGGUGUAGCAGUGAAAUGCGUAGAUAUCGUAAGGAAGACCGGUGGCGAAGGCGGAUCUCUGGACAGUUACUGACACUGAGGCACGAAGGCCAGGGGAGCAAACGGG
rnacentral:rRNA from 1 species